GGCAGAGGAAGGGAUGCUCCUGAUGGAAGGUUUAGUAGUCUCAUUUUUGGAACUAACCUCACUGAUGUAAUAAUCACUGGUUACAAUGGGACAAUUGAUGGACAAGGGUGUUAUUGGUGGGACAAGUUCCACAAGGGUGAAUUGAAACUCACCAGGCCUUACAUGAUUGAGAUUAUGUUCUCUGAUCACAUCCAGAUAUCUAAUCUCACUUUGAUCAAUUCUCCAUCUUGGUUUGUCCAUCCAAUUUACACAAGUGACAUUAUAAUUCAAGGGCUGACCAUUCUUGCUCCAGUUGACUCUCCAAACACUGAUGGAAUAGAUCCAGGUAAAUUAUUAUUAUUAUUUCCACUGGCU